AAUAUACUCAUCGUGUUUUUUUUGUUCGUCGCAGCGCUAUUGCGUGUAUUUAUACAAAUAGCCUGUGUCAGAUUUGCGGUGAUUUGAAGAAACUCCUAAAAAUAACGAUGGCAUCGAACUGAUUGUUUAGUUGAAGCAGGAUAGUGGUAAUUUACCGCCAUAUUGGUAGGACCCAUGUCGGACAGUCAGGCUCAGAAGAAAGUUCGGAGGCCUCGGGCUACAAAGGCUGAAAAGGGCACCCAGUGUUGUGCAUAUGGUUGCAAGAAGCGUAAGAAAAGCAGACUUAAUGGUAGAAGUGAUAGCGAAGGCAGCGAAGACGAAGAGUCGGCCUUAAAGAGAUGCCACCCUAGAACAUUUCAUUCUAUCCCAAGUGAUCCAGAGAGAAGAAGAGCCUGGCUUGUUGGUCUCCAUCGAGAGAAAUGGACACCUAGUUCACAUUCGCGUGUCUGCUCUGACCAUUUUAAAGAGAGUGACAUGGAUAGAACUGGCCAGACUGUCCGGCUUCGUUCUGAAGCCUUUCCAACUCGAUUUAAAAGCCUCCCAAAACAUUUGAGGAUGACUGUGAGUUCUCAACUUCUCAACCAAACAGCUGAAUAAAUGAAAAGUUCCAUAUUGUGUAACUAAAUUACAUGUUUUACAUGUCUAUUACGUCAUAUUUUCCAUUUAUCUACUAUUUGUGAGUUUUGGCAAACAGUUGAAUUUCUUUUUCUUGGAUGUGCCGUGAUCCAAUAAGCAACAGCUGGACUGCCUUACUGACUGAUGAAGUGGUCGGUUAAAGUUAAUGUUUAUGCACCACCACCAAGGAAACCACCAUUAGACCGUUCAAAAGUCAUUGCAAGCAAGGCUGUUCAAGAACGUAUACAACUUGAAAAUACAGUUCCAGAAUGCAAUCGAGUGUCACCUACAAGAAGGGUACAACUGAGUGACCAUCAGUAUUACAAUCCUGAAUGUAAUCCUACAAGAAAUGUACAACUGGGUGAUCAUGAGUACCACAUCAAGGAUUCACCAAAACGAUUAACUGGAAAACUUAACUCAUCCAAUGAAAAAAUUGCAAUUUUACGAAAGAAACUGAAACAUGCUCAGCAGAAAUCCAGACGUUUGCAAAUGAAAGUCAAGUCACUGAAGGAUAUUGUAAAACAUCUGCGCAAAACACAGAAGCAGCUGGAGUUGGGAACUUCACAUGAAAAUGUGUCUUCUGAAAACAGUUCAAAAAGUAAUAUGAAAAAUACGUGACCGUGCUAACACAGAAACGGUUUGAUCAGAACAGGAAAGGACUAUCAAAAUCCCAGUCCUUAAAUGUCAGUCAGAUAACUGGCUGUGCCAUGGUCACAGAAAAUACUUGCUGGAAAGUAUCUUAAAAAGGUACUAGGACAUCGUUAUACUCUGAUGGAAGUUUGACCAGCAUUCUGUCAACACCCCGGACCAUGACAAAACCAAUACAAAUAAACAGCAAGAUAAACAUGUUGGAGGUGUUAGACAUUGUGAAAUUCUGAUUUAUCUGGAUGUCCCUUGUCCCUUAUUUUGAAACUCUAGUAGUCCUGCGAUUUUUGAAACUAAUAGUCCUGCGUCCAACUUCAAGUUCUGUGUCUAAUCGCUCUCCAUUUAUUGAUUAUUGAUUGUCAGCACCUUGCUCAGUGAUAAAUCCAAAAGGUGAAAUUGUUUUUUCAGGAGAUGGUUUGAGAUAUUUGAGUUCAGGACUCCAUAUUUCUCUUUUGAUAAACCUCUCUAUUGUAACCAACUAAGUGUGAAAUCUGCACUACAGCAUAAUUAUCAUAAUUAAGAUUGUCACUUAAAAGGUUAAUCAACAGCUGUGGAAGUCUUGCUCGAAUACUUUACAUAUUGUCUGACUCAAAAUUCCGAAGUAGCCCUCUGUAUCAAGACAGUAUUUGGUGACCUAAAUGGUAGUGUGUGUAUAAAUUGUGAGAAUACACAUUGGCUUAUUAGGGAAUUAAAGACUGCUUUAACCGAAUGGUGGCAUGGUUCCUCGUAAUAUGUUGAGUUUUCACUGGUUGGCAGAUGGCAGGGCUGUUUAACUGUUAACUACUGUAAUUCCAGUCAAGGAGCAAUACACCAAAGAUAAUGGUAAUAAAGGGUCGCAUGACAACUUUUAGCA